CAAUAUUUCGAAUUUGAAUGGUAAGUUUAAAAAUAUUACUGGAAGUGUGAUUGUUUCUAGUUUUAAACAAUUAAAUUUAAAUAAUUAAUAUUAUUUGCAGCACACCCGAACAAAGCAAAUCAGCUCAACUAAUCUUGUCUCAACAUCCUGGAUCUGGCAAUCAGCCAACCAACAUUAAAUCGAUACAACCGCAGUAGUACCAACUACUCCAAAUCCAGCAACAGCCAACAACCCCUCAAAAAGGACCACAUAGCAAUUAGGGGAGAGAGGGUAACAGUGGAUCAGCAGGAACUAUGAAACAUUCGCAAUAAAAUCACAAUGCAUGAUCGCAAUCGUCUAAUUCCCUCAUAUUUCACAAUUUCUAAUUCUUUACACGUGUUGCUAUAUUUUGGAAGAGAUCUGCUAACUCUAUCUCUUUUAAUGGAUAUUUGUUUGUUUUGUGAUAGCCAGAGUAAAUUUGCAAUGAUAAACAUUAUUCCAUCUUUAUGAAUUACCAUUCAUUGAAUAAAUGUUUAGUCUAUUGCUAUUUAUAGCAAAUUUUAUGCUCAACAUGUGCCGCGAACAAAGUUUUUUGGUAACUACUCAUGGUUCUGUGUGAUUUCACAAUUUUCAUGAAUAGACCCAUUGGGUAACUGUGAAACGAUGGCGUAUGGGGAACAGUGAUUUUUGUUUGUUUUUGUGGUCUGUCUCAAAAUGUCAAUGGGUUCCGAUUUUCCACACUAAAUACUACUCAUAUAGUGCAAAAUUAGUAAAUUUGGCAAAAUUUUGUAGAAAUUGUCUCUUAUUUCAGGAUUGCAGCUAAUAUGCAUAUAUGGUGGUUCGAUGUUACGCGAUGAUAUAGUGGAUUCUUUCGUAAACAAACGAUUUUCGCCUCAAUAUAACUUUAAUUCAAAGCGUUAGGAUCAUUCUUCGUCUAAACAAAAGAAUAAAAUUUAUAAGUAGAAUAUUUCACUAUAGAUGACAUCGUGUUUCAUAGUUCCUACCCAUGAGGCACACUGAUACAUUUUACCACCAACUGUUUAUUAUCCAAAAAAUGUUAUUUCCCGUGAAUUUUACCAGCUGGAAAAAAUAUAUGUAUUAGUUAACAACAUAGUGGCACUAUGUAUCACUUUUGAUUACACAAAUAACAUGUAUUAUCAUCAAAAUUAAGUUGUAGAAAAAAUGUGUUUCAUUGUUACCCUCUCUCCCCUACUGCUCAAACGAACAACAGCAGUUUACGAAUGAUGGACACAUCGGAAAACAUUUCAUCGGCACAUUCUGCUUUAAAACUUGUCUGCCACUAUUUUUACCAGCGGUUGCCUUCCUGAUUUAGAGAAAUCGGAUUCAAGCACAAACGUCAUAUUCCAGCCUUGGUUCCUACCAGUUCCUUGCAUGAAAAUAUCACUGCCUCCACAGUGUUCGUGAUUCCAUUCCAGCAGCAGCAAGCAAUCACUAUUCGAGUGCUUAUCGCCAACAUUUCACAGCAAGCUCAGCAGCAGAACCACCUUCAACCACAACAUCAGAAAAUUAAGAUUUCUUCCAGACCACGACCAUCACCCUAAAGGUCGGUAGCAAUAACGUUCAACCGACGGUCAGCAACCGCAAUUAGUGCAAUAGAUCCAAGCCAAAUGUAGAAGACCAUUGACCAACUGCAAAAAAGAUUUCAACAGCACAUUCAAACACAGUAGCAGCAGCAUACUAUACCGUACCAUGCGGUGUGCAGGAGGACUUUUUUAUUCAGUUGGUGCGGCAAGCUCGAACACCAACAACAUAAUAUGGUAAUCACCCAGCAAGAGAACGCAGUGAUAAUGGGCCAACAGAAAACACAACAUCAAGAUGCUCGGAAAGGACUUUCUCUUUCGAAUAAACAUAAUGGCACGUCAUGUUCAAUCGGCUAACCGUUUGGAAUAAGCGCUCAUCAUCGGUUUCAUGGCAGGGAAGUGAGCAGGCAAAAGAAGGCAUCGUUUUUUCCGCAAGAUCGCUCUGGUCAAAAUUUCAGCGAAUUGCAAGGAAUAAACCACCCGAGGGACAGUACCCGUGCUGAUUCAGGACGAUUUCCCAUACUUUGUACCUUGCUAUUAAAUUUUAAUACCCGAUCGAAACGAUGGCAAGCGCUGCCGAUAACUGGGUCAAAAAGACGACGGAUCAAGAAAUUUCUGCACACGGUUAGCGAACUGAGUAUAUAUCACCAAGGAUAAGGAUUCAGAGUCGGCGGCUGGCAGUCCAGAGAAAGAGAAUGCGGAACAACCUAGUCCACCGGCAGUAGAACCAAAGCUGCACCUGAUGUUUGGAGUUCGGUAGCUACGGAAAUUCUGACUAGCAGCUCCUGAAGAAAAACAAGCUGCAAGAGAAAAUGGAGAAACACCUUCCUCCGCGGAAGAUGCAGAGGCAUUCAACCCGGCGGAUGCAAGUUUGCUAAUGAAAGAUGUUCGCUAAGGUCUAGUAGAAUCAAAGCUGGAUCUGAAGGUGCAGCGGAAGGAUUCUUCUUCGCCGGUUGGUUGGUUAAAACUUUCUUUUUUUUUUUGUUUGUUUUGUGAUA